UCAAGUGUAGUAUCUGUUCUUAUCAG
rnacentral:piRNA from 4 species